AGAGUUUGAUCCUGGCUCAGAUUGAACGCUGGCGGCAGGCCUAACACAUGCAAGUCGAGCGGUAGCACAGAGAGCUUGCUCUCGGGUGACGAGCGGCGGACGGGUGAGUAAUGUCUGGGAAACUGCCUGAUGGAGGGGGAUAACUACUGGAAACGGUAGCUAAUAUCGCAUAAUGUCGCAAGACCAAAGUGGGGGACCUUCGGGCCUCAUGCCAUCAGAUGUGCCCAGAUGGGAUUAGCUAGUAGGUGGGGUAACGGCUCACCUAGGCGACGAUCCCUAGCUGGUCUGAGAGGAUGACCAGCCACACUGGAACUGAGACACGGUCCAGACUCCUACGGGAGGCAGCAGUGGGGAAUAUUGCACAAUGGGCGCAAGCCUGAUGCAGCCAUGCCGCGUGUGUGAAGAAGGCCUUCGGGUUGUAAAGCACUUUCAGCGGGGAGGAAGGCGUUAAGGUUAAUAACCUUGGCGAUUGACGUUACCCGCAGAAGAAGCACCGGCUAACUCCGUGCCAGCAGCCGCGGUAAUACGGAGGGUGCAAGCGUUAAUCGGAAUUACUGGGCGUAAAGCGCACGCAGGCGGUCUGUCAAGUCGGAUGUGAAAUCCCCGGGCUCAACCUGGGAACUGCAUUCGAAACUGGCAGGCUAGAGUCUUGUAGAGGGGGGUAGAAUUCCAGGUGUAGCGGUGAAAUGCGUAGAGAUCUGGAGGAAUACCGGUGGCGAAGGCGGCCCCCUGGACAAAGACUGACGCUCAGGUGCGAAAGCGUGGGGAGCAAACAGGAUUAGAUACCCUGGUAGUCCACGCCGUAAACGAUGUCGAUUUGGAGGUUGUGCCCUUGAGGCGUGGCUUCCGGAGCUAACGCGUUAAAUCGACCGCCUGGGGAGUACGGCCGCAAGGUUAAAACUCA
rnacentral:rRNA from 1 species